CCUACGGGCGGCAGCAGUAGGGAAUCUUCCACAAUGGGCGAAAGCCUGAUGGAGCAACGCCGCGUGGGUGAAGAAGGUCUUCGGAUCGUAAAACCCUGUUGUUAGAGAAGAAAGUGCGUGAGAGUAACUGUUCACGUUUCGACGGUAUCUAACCAGAAAGCCACGGCUAAAUACGUGCCAGCAGCCGCGGUAAUACGUAGGUGGCAAGCGUUAUCCGGAUUGAUUGGGCGUAAAGGGAAUGAAGGCGGUCUUUUAAGUCUGAUGUGAAAGCCUUCGGCUUAACCGGAGUAGUGCAUUGGAAACUGGGAGACUUGAGUGCAGAAGAGGAGAGUGGAACUCCAUGUGUAGCGGUGAAAUGCGUAGAUAUAUGGAAGAACACCAGUGGCGAAAGCGGCUCUCUGGUCUGUAACUGACGCUGAGGUUCGAAAGCGUGGGUAGCAAACAGGAUUAGAUACCCUUGUAGUC
rnacentral:rRNA from 1 species